rnacentral:rRNA from 1 species
GACAGAGGGUGCAAACGUUGUUCGGAAUUACUGGGCGUAAAGCGCGUGUAGGCUGUUUUGCAAGUCGGAUGUGAAAGCCCUGGGCUCAAACCUAGGAAGUGCACUCGAAACUGCAGAACUGGAGUCCUGGAGAGGAAGGCGGAAGUUCUCGGUGUAGAGGUGAAAUUCGUGAGAUAUCGAGAGGAACACCGGUGGCGAAGGCGGCCUUAC